CCAUCGCAAACCCUCCGGACUCGUGUAACGCCGUUAGUUCGCCGUGUGUUUCGUGCGAUCUACCAGUGUCGGCAGUGAGUGUCUUACUACAGCGCCCGUCCGGCCUUUGUUCUGCCGAGCUGCCUGCAAGCGCUCCCGUGAAAAGUCUGGUACUGGAGCUUCGAAUCGUAGUGUAUGGAAGGCUGUUGAAGGUUGUGCUUUUGUGGAGCUGGAGUUCAUCGGAAGUUCUACAGUACUUGCGCCAGAAAGACGUCGGUGCCUCGGUACCUUUGAGACGAAGGAGCGUUGGCCAAGUCUUUUUGAAAGGCUAUGCGGAUUCUGGAGGCAUCCCUACAUCGAGCAGGAACCUGCUGCACUGCUGGAAGCUGGACAGCACGACAAUAAAGCACGUGAUCUGCGUGCUUUCUCAAAGGUAGACAUCGGCGACGGUGUAUAUGUUGAAAAGGGCCUGCUGAAGAGGCUGCGCCUGGAUGCUAACAACUCGGGCUUUCAGUUCGCGGGGGGCCUCCUUAAGGCUCCUUUUACAAAAGUAGAGGUUGAAGGGAGGCGCUACACAUGGAUGCGCAGCAAUUGUUUGUGACAGCGUCACUGCUGGCAGGCCUGGCCUGCCUUUUCGCUUCGUUCUGGGUCUUCCACGUUAUCUACUCGAAAAAGGCCCACAGGAUUUUGACAUUUAUUCAGCACUGCUUUCUUGAUUUUUACUACACAAAGCUGCAGGUGAAAGCAUUGGAUUUACUCAAUUUUUACAAGACAAAACUAUUGCUA